rnacentral:rRNA from 1 species
UACGAAGGGUCCAAGCGUUAUCCGGAUUCAUUGGGUUUAAAGGGUGCGCAGGCGGGGCUUUAAGUCAGUGGUGAAAUCCCUUCGCUCAACGAAGGAACUGCCAUUGAUACUGAAGCUCUUGAAUAUGGUUGACGUUGGCGGAAUGUGUCAUGUAGCGGUGAAAUGCUUAGAUAUGACACAGAACACCAAUCGCGAAGGCAGCUAACGAAGCCAUUAUUGACGCUCAGGCACGAAAGCGUGGGGAUCAAACAGGAUUAGAUACCCUGGUAGUCCACGCUGUAAACGUUGAUCACUUGACAUUGGCGAUAUACGGUCAGUGUCCCAGAGAAAUUGUUUAGUGAUCCACCUGGGGAGUACGCCGGCAACGGUGAA